AACGAACGCUGGCGGCAUGCCUAACACAUGCAAGUCGAACGAGACCUUCGGGUCUAGUGGCGCACGGGUGCGUAACGCGUGGGAACCUGCCCUUAGGUUCGGAAUAACUCCCCGAAAGGGGUGCUAAUACCGGAUAAUGUCUUCGGACCAAAGAUUUAUCGCCUUUGGAUGGGCCCGCGUUGGAUUAGCUAGUUGGUAGGGUAAAAGCCUACCAAGGCGACGAUCCAUAGCUGGUCUGAGAGGAUGAUCAGCCACACUGGGACUGAGACACGGCCAGACUCCUACGGGAGGCAGCAGUGGGGAAUAUUGACAAUGGGCGAAAGCCUGAUCCAGCAAUGCCGCGUGAGUGAUGAAGGCCUUAGGGUUGUAAAGCUCUUUUACCCGGGAUGAUAAUGACAGUACCGGGAGAAUAAGCUCCGGCUAACUCCGUG
rnacentral:rRNA from 1 species